AUUGAACGCUGGCGGCAGGCCUAACACAUGCAAGUCGAGCGGUAGCACAGAGAGCUUGCUCUCGGGUGACGAGCGGCGGACGGGUGAGUAAUGUCUGGGAAACUGCCUGAUGGAGGGGGAUAACUACUGGAAACGGUAGCUAAUACCGCAUAACGUCGCAAGACCAAAGUGGGGGACCUUCGGGCCUCAUGCCAUCAGAUGUGCCCGGAUGGGAUUAGCUAGUAGGUGGGGUAACGGCUCACCUAGGCGACGAUCCCUAGCUGGUCUGAGAGGAUGACCAGCCACACUGGAACUGAGACACGGUCCAGACUCCUACGGGAGGCAGCAGUGGGGAAUAUUGCACAAUGUGCGCAAGCCUGAUGCAGCCAUGCCGCGUGUGUGAAGAAGGCCUUCGGGUUGUAAAGCACUUUCAGCGGGGAGGAAGGCGGUGAGGUUAAUAACCUCAUCGAUUGACGUUACCCGCAGAAGAAGCACCGGCUAACUCCGUGCCAGCCGCCGCGGUAA
rnacentral:rRNA from 1 species